AGUUUGAUCCUGGCUCAUGAUGAACGCUGGCGGCGUGCUUAACACAUGCAAGUCGAACGGUGAACACGGAGCUUGCUCUGUGGGAUCAGUGGCGAACGGGUGAGUAACACGUGAGCAACCUGCCCCUGACUCUGGGAUAAGCGCUGGAAACGGCGUCUAAUACUGGAUAUGUGACGUGACCGCAUGGUCUGCGUCUGGAAAGAAUUUCGGUUGGGGAUGGGCUCGCGGCCUAUCAGCUUGUUGGUGAGGUAAUGGCUCACCAAGGCGUCGACGGGUAGCCGGCCUGAGAGGGUGACCGGCCACACUGGGACUGAGACACGGCCCAGACUCCUACGGGAGGCAGCAGUGGGGAAUAUUGCACAAUGGGCGCAAGCCUGAUGCAGCAACGCCGCGUGAGGGACGACGGCCUUCGGGUUGUAAACCUCUUUUAGCAGGGAAGAAGCGAAAGUGACGGUACCUGCAGAAAAAGCGCCGGCUAACUACGUGCCAGCAGCCGCGGUAAUACGUAGGGCGCAAGCGUUAUCCGGAAUUAUUGGGCGUAAAGAGCUCGUAGGCGGUUUGUCGCGUCUGCUGUGAAAUCCGGAGGCUCAACCUCCGGCCUGCAGUGGGUACGGGCAGACUAGAGUGCGGUAGGGGAG
rnacentral:rRNA from 1 species